rnacentral:tRNA from 1 species
CACUAGGAAGCUAAAUAGGGAUUAGCAUUAGCCUUUUAAGCUAAAGAUUGGCGGCCCCCAAUCGCCUCUAGUGA